UACGAGGGGGGCGAGCGUUGUUCGGAAUUAUUGGGCGUAAAGGGUGCGCAGGCGGUUUGGUAAGUCUUAUGUGAAAUCUACAGGCUCAACUUGUAGUCUGCAUGAGAAACUGCCGGGCUUGAGUAUGGGAGAGGUGAGUGGAAUUCCUGGUGUAGCGGUGAAAUGCGUAGAUAUCAGGAGGAACACCUGUGGCGAAAGCGGCUCACUGGACCAUAACUGACGCUGAUGCACGAAAGCUAGGGGAGCAAACAGG
rnacentral:rRNA from 1 species